rnacentral:rRNA from 1 species
GGGUUGUGAGGUUAAGCGACUAAGCGUACACGGUGGAUGCCCUGGCAGUCAGAGGCGAUGAAGGACGUGCUAAUCUGCGAAAAGCGCCGGCGAGGUGAUAUGAACCUUUGACCCGUCGAUGUCCGAAUGGGGAAACCCAGUGUGUUCCGACACACUAUCGUUAACUGAAUACAUAGGUUAACGAGGCGAACCGGGGGAACUGAAACAUCUAAGUA